GUGUAAGUAUAAAUAAUUUUACUUUGAAACUGCGAAUGGCUCAUUAUAUCAGUUAUAGUUUAUUAGAAAUAUUUUACUACUUGGAUAACCGUAGUAAUUCUAGGGCUAAUACAUGANUAAANCCUCAACUUCGGAAGAGGUGUGUUUAUUAGUAUGAAAACCAUAUAUCUUCGGAUAUAAUAGUGAGUAAUAAUAACCUUUCAUAUCGUAUGUCGUAAGAUAACGAUAGUUCUUUCAAGUUUCUGCCCUAUCAGCUUUCGAUGGUAGUAUAUGGGACUACCAUGGCAGUAACGGGUAACGAAGAAUUUGGGUUCGAUUUCGGAGAGGGAGCCUGAGAGAUGGCUACCACAUCCAAGGAAGGCAGCAGGCGCGUAAAUUACCCAAUCCUGACAUAGGGAGGUAGUGACAAUAAAUCACAAUGCGGAACUUUUU
rnacentral:rRNA from 1 species